rnacentral:rRNA from 1 species
GACGAACCGUGCGAACGUUAUUCGGAAUCACUGGGCCUAAAGCGCGUGUAGGCGGCCCGCUACGUCUCUGGCUGAAAUCCCCCGGCUCAACCGGGGAACGGGCCGGGAUACGGGCGGGCUGGAGGGGGGUAGGGGGGACGGGAACUCACGGUGGAGCGGUGAAAUGCGUUGAGAUCGUGAGGAACGCCCGCGGCGAAAGCGCGUCCCUGGACCCCGCCUGACGCUGAGACGCGAAAGCCAGGGGAGCGAACGGG